GUGGGCCGCAGACACGUUGGAGCCGGCGGGGGCUGGGGACUGGCCUCGGGGAGACUUGAGAGGCAUCUGGGCAGUGGAGGCCCUUCCUGCUGGAGUCUCCACAAGGCUCUAAUGGUGUCCCUGGCCAGUGUCCUUCCACCUGUCCACAAGCAUGGGGAACAUCUUCGCCAACCUCUUCAAGGGCCUUUUUGGCAAAAAAGAAAUGCGCAUCCUCAUGGUGGGCUUGGAUGCUGCAGGGAAGACCACGAUCCUGUACAAGCUUAAGCUGGGUGAGAUCGUGACCACCAUUCCCACCAUAGGUGAGGUGGGGGCCAGCAGGGAGUGGGCUGGGCUGGGCUGGGCCAAGGUACAAGGCCUCACCCUGCAUCCCGCACCCAGGCUUCAACGUGGAAACUGUGGAGUACAAGAACAUCAGCUUCACUGUGUGGGACGUGGGUGGCCAGGACAAGAUCCGGCCCCUGUGGCGCCACUACUUCCAGAACACACAAGGCCUGAUCUUCGUGGUGGACAGCAAUGACAGAGAGCGCGUGAACGAGGCCCGUGAGGAGCUCAUGAGGAUGCUGGCCGAGGACGAGCUCCGGGAUGCUGUCCUCCUGGUGUUCGCCAACAAGCAGGACCUCCCCAACGCCAUGAAUGCGGCUGAGAUCACAGACAAGC
rnacentral:sRNA from 1 species